UGAAGGUAAAGGUUUCACCACACAUCUGUCAGCUGUCAAUUAGGGCACUUUAAGUCUCAGAGUGCGAUAUGGGUCCUUGCGGUGCUUAGUCAGGGGCAGAGUAUGUUUUCUGUUGUAAGAGUCAAAGUGAUGUCUGCACAAGCUUUUAAGCUAAAUAACACAAAGAGGAGCUCUUUUAAAACAAGAGUGAGACUGAGAGGCCUGCUGCAAGAAGAUACACACCCAAGUGCUGAGAUUGUAAAGAUGAAAAGUGAGCAGAGGAAAAUGAGCGUUUCAGGAGAAGGAGGCGGUUUCCUCUUUUUCCCCUCUGGCAGCCUCACAGCAGGGAGUUAUGAGGUAGCCCCAACCUACCUCACAUCUGCCCGCUGUGCAAGAACAAGCUCAUCUUCUGUCAUGUUUCGGCUGUGUGGCAGGCAGGAAUUGGACCCAAACGCAAACUCACGGGGACAGAAAUUGAACUCAAAAGCACAGCUUUAUUGCUGGAAAACAGAUCACAAACAAUAUAAAACUAAACUGGGAAAAACUAAUUGUAAUGUACACCAGGAGACACGGGAAGAAUCACACACAGCAUGAGGGAGACCGCGACACUGACAUAGAGAAACACAGGGCUUAAAUACACUGGGAAAUAACGAGGGGAAUGAGACACAAAAGGAGAGCACAGCUGGGGGAAAUCAGAACUGACGAGACAAGGAAGCAAAGUAGGAUACACUCACAUGAGACACAGACCUUCAAAGUAAAACAGGAAGUAGCACAGAAGCAGACUUGACUAGGGGAGACAGAGCAACUAAGAAACACAGAACAACAACAAAGAGACACAGAGGGCAGCUACUACAUACUCAGAAAACUAAACAGAAUACAAGAAAGCCAAACUAAGAUGCUAGACUAUAGAAUAAACUGGGGCAACAAAGAGAACUAAGAUCAUAAUACAAAAACUCUGAGACACAAGAAACUCAACACUGGGUCACCGACCCAGGACCGUGACAAUAAGUAAAAUAACCCAAAAAGCUAAAAGAAACACAAUAUCAAUCUUUCAUUACAGUUUGAAUUUUCUAAUUUUGUUUUUCUACCAUAACUCUUCCACAUUCAUUAAUGUUCAAUAAUUCAAUUCAGUUUUAUUUGUAUAGCUCCAAAUCACAACAACAGUCGCCUCCAGGCGCUUUUCAAUAAUGACUGAAACAUUAUUUUCACCACUAUUUGAGCUUAUUUAGUGUCUUUUUGAAAGGGCUGUGACACUGACCUCUGUCUCUGUGACAGGGAUCUGGGUCCGUCCAAGGAUUUCUUUUCUUUUACUCUUUGUUUCUUUUGCUGCCCAAUCCAUGAGAAAGAUUUAUCUUUUUCCGUCUUUCAUGUCUUUAUACAAAUUGGUGAUGUUGCUGCUAUAGUAGAAAAUUUCCUUCCUACACACAUCAUGUUAACAGUUUUUUCAUCUACAGCUGUAAAGUACGUGAUGCUCCGCUUUCUCACUGCCUGGAGCCUACAAGGCUCUGCUUAGUGCUGCUGAGUCCUGUGACCACAAGACAACUGGCCAGAUCAUAACAGGGACCACAUGUAAACUGUACUGACAAUGCUCCAAAUUAGGAAAAUCACCUUAUUUUUUACUUUACUGAUGGAUGAGUGGUCAGUUGGUAAACCUGCAGUGGUUCAGACACUUGUUGGUUGUCUGUAUAUACUUUUGAAAAAAAAAAAUAUACAGACAUAUGUGAAAAAGUGUUUGCCUCCUUACUCAUUUCCUAUUUUUUUGUAUAUUAGUAACACUUAAAUGUUUUAUAUUAAAUAUUGAAACAUUUAUAUGUGAUAAAACAAAUUAUAACAUAAAUUAACUGUGGUGUAGUACAUCUGUGGAUCAUCUGAACUCAUCUUUGAAGCUGAGUUCAAUUUCCUGAUUAUUGCCAUCCCUGUUCUCAAUCAAGAAAUCACCUAAAUGAGGCUUAAAGUUGUGGGACUCCAGCGAACCACGAUAAUGAGAACCAUUAUCCACAGAUGAAAAAAAUAUGGAACAAACGCGCGUCAGAGUAGCGCGACUGGCGCAUUUGACGCGCGAAUGAAAAUAUGCGCGCAAGUUUUUGUGUUGCAUUUUGUGCAUUUGCGCGUAUCGCGUCUACCGCUCGAGUUGGAAAAAUCUGAACUCCAGCGUCAAUUCGUGCCGCGACAACCAAUCAGGAGCCUGGUGACGUGGCUCUGACCUAGGUCAAAGGGGCAAAUCCAGCCAAAGCCCUUCACUCUUCAUUUAAUAUGGAGGAAGGGCUAAUCAACGCUGUAGGACACCAGCUGCUUUCUGUACUGAGACAGGAAUAAAAAGGACCUACUUGGAGGAAGAUAUGUGAAGAGAUCCGGCA
ensembl:lncRNA